UCGACCCCUCCGGUGCCGCAGUUAACGCACUAAGUACCCCGCUUGGGGAUUAUGCUCGCGAGGCUGAAACUCAAAGGAAUUGACAGGGCCCCGCACAAGCGGUGGAGCAUGUGGUUUAAUUCGACGCUACGCGAAGUACCUUACCUGGGCUUGACAUGCUUGGGACAGCGCUGGAUACAGCGUCUCUCCUUCGGGAGCCCUUGCACAGGUGCUGCAUGGCUGUCGUCAGCUCGUGUCGUGAGAUGUUGGGUUAAGUCCCGCAACGAGCGCAACCCUCGUUACUAGUUGCCAUCAGUUCGGCUGGGCACUCUAGUGAGACUGCCGGUGAUAAACCGGAGGAAGGUGAGGAUGAUGUCAAGUCAUCAUGGCCCUUACGCCCAGGGCUACACACGUGCUACAAUGGUCGGCACAAAGGGUCGCUAAGCCGCGAGGUGGAGCUAAUCCCAAAAAGCCGGCCUCAGUUCGGAUUGGAGUCUGCAACCCGACUCCAUGAAGGCGGAAUCGCUAGUAAUCGCGGAUCAGCAUGCCACGGUGAAUAUGUUCCCGGGGCUUGUACACACCGCCCGUCAUAUCACCCGAGUCGGGAUACCCGAAGUCCGUGACCCAACCACUU
rnacentral:rRNA from 1 species